GAUGAACGCUGGCUACAGGCUUAACACAUGCAAGUCGAGGGGAAACGGCAUUGGGUGCUUGCACUGAAUGGACGUCGACCGGCGCACGGGUGAGUAACGCGUAUCCAACCUUCCCGUUACUGCGGGAUAACCUGCCGAAAGGCAGACUAAUACCGCAUGUUCUUCGAUGACGGCAUCAGAUUCGAAGCAAAGAUCCGUCGGUAACGGAGGGGGAUGCGUCUGAUUAGCUAGUUGGCGGGGCGACGGCCCACCAAGGCGACGAUCAGUAGGGGUUCUGAGAGGAAGGUCCCCCACAUUGGAACUGAGACACGGUCCAAACUCCUACGGGAGGCAGCAGUGAGGAAUAUUGGUCAAUGGGCGGAAGCCUGAACCAGCCAAGUAGCGUGCAGGAGGACGGCCCUACGGGUUGUAAACUGCUUUUAUGCGGGGAUAAAGUGAGGGACGCGUCCCUUUUUGCAGGUACCGCAUGAAUAAGGACCGGCUAAUUCCGUGCCAGCAGCCGCGGUAAUACGGAAGGUCCGGGCGUUAUCCGGAUUUAUUGGGUUUAAAGGGAGCGUAGGCCGGGGAUUAAGUGUGUUGUGAAAUGUAGGCGCCCAACGUCUGACUUGCAGCGCAUACUGGUUCCCUUGAGUACGCGCAACGCCGGCGGAAUUCGUCGUGUAGCGGUGAAAUGCUUAGAUAUGACGAAGAACCCCGAUUGCGAAGGCAGCCGGCGGGAGCGCAACUGACGCUGAAGCUCGAAGGUGCGGGUAUCGAACAGG
rnacentral:rRNA from 1 species